UCCCGUCACCUGCCAUUUACCUGGUCAUACCACUCCCGGUUGGUACAGGUGCACUCGGGCCACCAUCCUCCUUGUCCACUGGAGUUGUUGCCAUUUACU